AGUGGGGAAUCUUGGACAAUGGGCGCAAGCCUGAUCCAGCCAUGCCGCGUGGAUGAUGAAGGCCCUAGGGUUGUAAAAUCCUUUCGUUGGGGACGAUAAUGACGGUACCCAAAGAAGAAGCUCCGGCUAACUUCGUGCCAGCAGCCGCGGUAAUACGAAGGGGGCUAGCGUUGUUCGGAUUUACUGGGCGUAAAGCGCGUGUAGGCGGGUCGUUAAGUUGGGGGUGAAAUCCCGGAGCUCAACUCCGGAACUGCCUCCAAAACUGGCGACCUGGACCCAAGUAGAGGCAAGUGGAAUUGCGAGUGUAGAGGUGAAAUUCGUAGAUAUUCGCAGGAACACCAGUGGCGAAGGCGACUUGCUGGACUUGUGGUGACGCUGAGACGCGAAAGCGUGGGGAGCAAA
rnacentral:rRNA from 1 species